rnacentral:rRNA from 1 species
CAGUAGCCGCGGUAAUACGAAGGGGGCUAGCGUUACUCGGAAUGACUGGGCGUAAAGGGCGCGUAGGCGGCGGCCAAAGUCAGGCGUGAAAUUCCCGGGCUCAACCUGGGGGCUGCGUUUGAUACUUGGUUGCUAGAGUGGGGAAGAGGGUCGUGGAAUUCCCAGUGUAGAGGUGAAAUUCGUAGAUAUUGGGAAGAACACCGGUGGCGAAGGCGGCGACCUGGUCCUUGACUGACGCUGAGGCGCGAAAGCGUGGGGAGCAAACAGGAUUAGAUACCCCCGUAGUCCCUGUCUCUUAUAC